rnacentral:rRNA from 1 species
GCUGGCGGCAGGCCUAACACAUGCAAGUCGAACGGCACCUUCGGGUGUAGUGGCGGACGGGUUAGUAACGCGUGGGAACGUGCCCUUCUCUACGGAAUAGCCUCGGGAAACUGGGUUUAAUACCGUAUACGCCCUUCGGGGGAAAGAUUUAUCGGAGAAGGAUCGGCCCGCGUAAGAUUAGAUAGUUGGUGGGGUAAUGGCCUACCAAGUCUACGAUCUUUAGCUGGUUUGAGAGGAUGAUCAGCAACACUGGGACUGAGACACGGCCCAGACUCCUACGGGAGGCAGCAGUGGGGAAUAUUGGACAAUGGGCGAAAGCCUGAUCCAGCAAUACCGAGUGAGUGAUGAAGGCCCUAGGGUUGUAAAGCUCUUUUAGCAAGGAAGAUAAUGACGUUACUUGCAGAAAAAGCCCCGGCUAACUCCGUGCCAGCAGCCGCGGUAAUACG